UGCAGUCGAGCGAAUGGAUUAAGAGCUUGCUCUUAUGAAGUUAGCGGCGGACGGGUGAGUAACACGUGGGUAACCUGCCCAUAAGACUGGGAUAACUCCGGGAAACCGGGGCUAAUACCGGAUAACAUUUUGAACCGCAUGGUUCGAAAUUGAAAGGCGGCUUCGGCUGUCACUUAUGGAUGGACCCGCGUCGCAUUAGCUAGUUGGUGAGGUAACGGCUCACCAAGGCAACGAUGCGUAGCCGACCUGAGAGGGUGAUCGGCCACACUGGGACUGAGACACGGCCCAGACUCCUACGGGAGGCAGCAGUAGGGAAUCUUCCGCAAUGGACGAAAGUCUGACGGAGCAACGCCGCGUGAGUGAUGAAGGCUUUCGGGUCGUAAAACUCUGUUGUUAGGGAAGAACAAGUGCUAGUUGAAUAAGCUGGCACCUUGACGGUACCUAACCAGAAAGCCACGGCUAACUACGUGCCAGCAGCCGCGGUAAUACGUAGGUGGCAAGCGUUAUCCGGAAUUAUUGGGCGUAAAGCGCGCGCAGGUGGUUUCUUAAGUCUGAUGUGAAAGCCCACGGCUCAACCGUGGAGGGUCAUUGGAAACUGGGAGACUUGAGUGCAGAAGAGGAAAGUGGAAUUCCAUGUGUAGCGGUGAAAUGCGUAGAGAUAUGGAGGAACACCAGUGGCGAAGGCGACUUUCUGGUCUGUAACUGACACUGAGGCGCGAAAGCGUGGGGAGCAAACAGGA
rnacentral:rRNA from 1 species